rnacentral:rRNA from 1 species
CUCCGGGUGAUCCUGCCGGACCCGACUGCUAUCAGAGUGGGACUAGAGCCAUGCGAGUCAACAUAGCAAUAUGUGGCAUACGGCUCAGUAACACGUAGUCAACAUGCCCAGGGGACGUGGAUAACCUCGGGAAACUGAGGAUAAACCGCGAUAAGUCACUACUUCUGGAAUGGGUAAUGACUCAAAUCUACAUGGCCCCUGGAUUGGACUGCGGCCGAUCAGGCUGUUGGUGAGGUAAUGGCCCACCAAACCUGUAACCGGUACGGGCUCUGAGAGGAGGAGCCCGGAGAUGGGCACUGAGACAAGGGCCCAGGCCCUAUGGGGCGCAGCAGGCGCGAAACCUCUGCAAUAGGCGAAAGCUUGACAGGGUUACUCUGAGUGAUUUCCGUUAAGGAGAUCUUUUGGCACCUCUAAAAAUGGUGCAGAAUAAGGGGUGGGCAAGUCUGGUGUCAGCCGCCGCGGUAAUACCAGCACCCCGAGUGGUCGGGACGUUUAUUGGGCCUAAAGCAUCCGUAGCCGGUUCUACAAGUCUUCCGUUAAAUCCACCUGCUUAACAGAUGGGCUGCGGAAGAUACUAUAGAGCUAGGAGGCGGGAGAGGCAAGCGGUACUCGAUGGGUAGGGGUAAAAUCCGUUGAUCCAUUGAAGACCACCAGUGGCGAAGGCGGCUUGCCAGAACGCGCUCGACGGUGAGGGAUGAAAGCUGGGGGAGCAAACCGGAUUAGAUACCCGGGUAGUCCCAGCUGUAAACGAUGCAGACUCGGUGAUGGGCUAGCCUUGUGCCAGCCCAGUGCCGCAGGGAAGCCGUUAAGUCUGCCGCCUGGGGCGUACGGUCGCAAGACUGAAACUUAAAGGAAUUGGCGGGGGAGCA